UCAGAAGAAUCGGUAUACAGAAUUUCCCAGGUGAUUGAUGACACUGUUUGUUGGCAGCUAAGGUAAUUGCAUUCUUGGUCUCGAAAUGGAAAACACUCAGAGGAUCAGAGGCUACAGUCUCCAGACAUUUGCGAUUGUUGGGGCUGGACAAUGGAACUAAGUAACAGUGAAGCAACGUGUCAGUUUUAUUUGAAUAUGGAUACAGCAUCUCAAUGGCAAAUGCAGAAGAAUCGGUAUACCGAAUUUCCCAGGUGAUUGAUGACACUGUUUGUUGGCAGCUAAGGUGAUUAAAUAGUUCAUGAGGAAAUUGGAAAAAUAGGAGAGAAUUGCUGACAGUUCGUAGGAGGUAAUUGCAUUCUUGGUCUCCCAAUGGAAAACAGUCAGAGGAUCAGAGGCUACAGUCUCCAGACAUUUGCGAUUGUUGGGGCUGGACAAUGGAACUAAGCAACAGUGAAGCUACGUGUCAGUUUUAUUUGAAUAUGGAUACA